UGCUAGUCGCACGAGUUUAGACUCGUGGCAUAUAGCUCAGUAACACGUGGCCAAACUACCCUACAGACCGCAAUAACCUCGGGAAACUGAGGCCAAUAGCGGAUAUAACUCUCAUGCUGGAGUGCCGAGAGUUAGAAACGUUCCGGCGCUGUAGGAUGUGGCUGCGGCCGAUUAGGUAGAUGGUGGGGUAACGGCCCACCAUGCCGAUAAUCGGUACAGGUUGUGAGAGCAAGAGCCUGGAGACGGUAUCUGAGACAAGAUACCGGGCCCUACGGGGCGCAGCAGGCGCGAAACCUUUACACUGCACGACAGUGCGAUAGGGGGACUCCGAGUGUGAGGGCAUAUAGCCCUCGCUUUUCUGCACCGUAAGGUGGUGCAAGAAUAAGGACUGGGCAAGACCGGUGCCAGCCGCCGCGGUAAUACCGGCAGUCCAAGUGAUGGCCGAUAUUAUUGGGCCUAAAGCGUCCGUAGCUUGCUGUGUAAGUCCAUUGGGAAAUCGACCAGCUCAACUGGUCGACGUCCGGUGGAAACUACACAGCUUGGGGCCGAGAGACUCGACGGGUACGUCCGGGGUAGGAGUGAAAUCCUAUAAUCCUGGACGGACCACCAAUGGGGAAACCACGUUGAGAGACCGGACCCGACAGUGAGGGACGAAAGCCAGGGUCUCGAACCGGAUUAGAUACCCGGGUAGUCCUGGCCGUAAACAAUGCUCGCUAGGUAUGUCACGCGCCAUGAGCACGUGAUGUGCCGUAGUGAAGACGAUAAGCGAGCCGCCUGGGAAGUACGUCCGCAAGGAUGAAACUUAAAGGAAUUGGCGGGGGAGCACCACAACCGGAGGAGCCUGCGGUUUAAUUGGACUCAACGCCGGACAUCUCACCGGUCCCGACAGUAGUAAUGACAGUCAGGUUGACGACUUUACUCGACGCUA
rnacentral:rRNA from 1 species